UACGUAGGGCGCGAGCGUUGUCCGGAAUUAUUGGGCGUAAAGAGCUCGUAGGUGGCUUGUUGCGUCUGCUGUGAAAGCCCGGGGCUUAACUCCGGAGGGUCGGUGGAUACUGCCAGUCUUGAAGGUGCUAGGGAGAGAUGGAAUUACCGGUGUAGCGGUGAAAUGCGUAGAUAUCGGUAGGAACACCAGUGGCGAAGGCGGUCUCUUGGGGCAUUCUUGACGCUGAGGCGCGAAAGCUGGGGGAGCGAACGGG
rnacentral:rRNA from 1 species